GAUGAAGAACGCAGCGAAAUGCGAUAAGUAGUGUGAAUUGCAGAAUUCAGUGAAUCAUCGAAUCUUUGAACGCACAUUGCGCCCAUUAGUAUUCUAAUGGGCAUGCCUGUUCGAGCGUCAUUAUAACCACUCAAGCUCUCGCUUGGUAUUGGGGUUCGCGGUUCCGCGGCCCCUAAAAUCAGUGGCGGUGCCUGUCGGCUCUACGCGUAGUAAUACUCCUCGCGAUUGAGUCCGGUAGGUCUACUUGCCAGCAACCCCCAAUUUUUACAGGUUGACCUCGGAUCAGGUAGGGAUACCCGCUGAACUUAAGCAUAUCAAUAAGCGGAGGA
rnacentral:misc_RNA from 1 species